rnacentral:misc_RNA from 1 species
GAUGAAGAACGUAGUGAAAUGCGAUAAGUAGUGUGAAUUGCAGAAUUCAGUGAAUCAUCGAAUCUUUGAACGCACAUUGCGCCCUUUGGUAUUCCUUAGGGCAUGCCUGUUCGAGCGUCAUUUAAACCUUCAAGCUCAGCUUGGUGUUGGGUGACUGUCCGCUUCACCGCGGACUCGCCUCAAAAUUAUUGGCGGCCGGUACAUUGGCUCUCGAGCGCAGCAGAAACGCGUAACUCGAGGUCCUCGUGCUGGCUCCCAGAAGCUAUCUUCACAAUUUUGACCUCGGAUCAGGUAGGGAUACCCGCUGAACUUAAGCAUAUCAAUAAGCGGACGA